AUUGAACGCUGGCGGCAUGCUUUACACAUGCAAGUCGAACGGUAACAGGCCGCAAGGUGCUGACGAGUGGCGAACGGGUGAGUAAUGCAUCGGAACGUGCCCAGUCGUGGGGGAUAACGCAGCGAAAGGUGUGCUAAUACCGCAUACGAGCUAUGGAUGAAAGCGGGGGACCGUAAGGCCUCGCGCGAUUGGAGCGGCCGAUGUCAGAUUAGGUAGGUGGUGGGGGAAAGGCCCACCAAGCCAACGAUCUGUAGCUGGUCUGAGAGGACGACCAGCCACACUGGGACUGAGACACGGCCCAGACUCCUACGGGAGGCAGCAGUGGGGAAUUUUGGACAAUGGGCGCAAGCCUGAUCCAGCAAUGCCGCGUGCAGGAAGAAGGCCUUCGGGUUGUAAACUGCUUUUGUACGGAACGAAACGGUCUGGGUUAAUACCCUGGGCUAAUGACGGUACCGUAAGAAUAAGCACCGGCUAACUACGUGCCAGCAGCCGCGGUAA
rnacentral:rRNA from 1 species